rnacentral:rRNA from 1 species
UACGUAGGUGGCAAGCGUUGUCCGGAUUUACUGGGUGUAAAGGGCGUGUAGCCGGGCUGACAAGUCAGAUGUGAAAUUCCGGGGCUCAACCCCGGACCUGCAUUUGAAACUGUUGGUCUUGAGUAUCGGAGAGGCAGGCGGAAUUCCUAGUGUAGCGGUGAAAUGCGUAGAUAUUAGGAGGAACACCAGUGGCGAAGGCGGCCUGAUGGACGACAACUGACGGUGAGGCGCGAAAGCGUGGGGAGCAAACAGG